CUCUCAGUAGCGUAGUAGUUGACGCACCGUUCCAGAUAGGCGUGAGACGCGGGUUCGAAUCCCGCCUGAGAUG
rnacentral:tRNA from 1 species